CCUACGGGCGGCAGCAGUGGGGAAUAUUGGACAAUGGGGGCAACCCUGAUCCAGCCAUGCCGCGUGUGUGAAGAAGGCCCUCGGGUUGUAAAGCACUUUCAGUGAGGAAGAACGCCUGGUGGUUAAUACCCAUCAGGAAAGACAUCACUCACAGAAGAAGCACCGGCUAACUCCGUGCCAGCAGCCGCGGUAAUACGGAGGGUGCGAGCGUUAAUCGGAAUUACUGGGCGUAAAGCGCGCGUAGGUGGCUUGAUAAGCCGGUUGUGAAAGCCCCGGGCUCAACCUGGGAACGGCAUCCGGAACUGUCAAGCUAGAGUGCAGGAGAGGAAGGUAGAAUUCCCGGUGUAGCGGUGAAAUGCGUAGAGAUCGGGAGGAAUACCAGUGGCGAAGGCGGCCUUCUGGACUGACACUGCCACUGAGGUGCGAAAGCGUGGGUAGCAAACAGGAUUAGAUACUCUUGUAGUC
rnacentral:rRNA from 1 species